CUUCAUGAACAUUAAGGUAAGAUCCAAUUCCAUGACCAGUUCCAUGUCGAUAAUCAAGGCCAUCCUUCCACAAUGGGACACGAGCAAGAAUGUCAAGUGUGUGUCCUGUAAAAAUUAUUUAUAAAAAUAAAUAGUGAAUUUAACAUCAUAUGUGCGCAUAUCUAUGUAUCUUUAAAUAGAACAAAGUUACAAGCAACAAAUUUGGCACAUAACAAAGAAAAUUGCUGGUCAACUAUGUGAUUUGGUGAUUCCUGAGGAUCUAUGCUGAAAUUUACCCCUCCCUUGGAACUAAAGAAGCCCAAUAAGCUACUAGCAAAUUAAAUGAACAAGAGAAAAAGCUCAUCAUACCAGCGGUUCCACUAGGAAAUCGAGCAUUACCCAGACUGAUAUGACCCUUGAGAACCUGCAUGAAAUCCAACAAAUCAAGCAAAAUGCUCAAGACCACAACAUAACUCCUAGAUAGAAGAAAUUUGUUAGCAAGCAUCUAUUAAGACAUUUUAUGAAGCAAAGGGCCUAAAAAGGUAAGCAUCUAUUAAGACAUUUUGAAUGUAUUUGUUGAAUAUAAUGUAUGUAUAGUAUACUAUCUUUCCUUGUUAAUAUAGGUCACAUGUAUGGUAGUUAGGACUCCUAGCCUUAUAUAUAUAUAUAUCUCUCAAUUGUAAGUAGAGAUUACAAUGAAUGAGAAUAAGGUUUUUCUCCUCUCUCUCUCUCUCUCUCUCAACAUGGUAUCAGAGUCAAAGGAGAAAACCUAAUUUUUUUUUCGGUUUAGCCGUGUACUCAAUUCCGGCGAACCGUCCAGUGACCGUGUUUUCACUCCGGUCCCCUCACUCUCUUUCCGAACCACCCCGGACAACCUCAUCGCCGUCGGAUCUCCACCACGCCGGCAACCUUUUCCGGCGAAAUUUUCCGGCGACCUUUUUUCCGGGCAAAGACCACAUAUUCCGAACCGCCGGAGGCUGAUCUACACGCCAGUGGAAACCCCACCGGCAACCGGCAUCUCACGCGCCCCCACGCGCUGCCCUUCUCCUCCGGACUGUCACCCACGCGCCGGCGCGUGACGGCGCGUGGCUCACUUUCCGGCCACUUCCGACACCUUUCCAGGCUCGUCCGGCGCCGUCUUGGCCUUCUAGCCCUCCGGCAGUCCUCCCCGAGCCCUGCAUCUCCAUUUUUUUCCCUGUUUUUGGCUUUCUUGCCAUUCCGGCCACCUCCGACAGGGCUCCCCCUCCAUCCCUGAGGCUUGGGUGCUACUUCUCUUCCUCUCCAGGCACGUCACGACCUUUUUUUCUCCAUUGAUUGCACCUCUCACAGCCGUGGUUUCACUGUUUUUCUCUCUCCGCCGAAAUCUGAACCCAUCUUAGGGCUCUCUUCGAUCCAAAUACGUGAAUAUGACCACCAAAAAUCAGAUCUUUACGUCUGUUCUCUCUGGAUCUCCUUUGAUUACCUCAGAGAAAUUGGUUGGCAGUGAGAAUUAUCUCUCCUGGUCUGCCUCUGUUGAACUUUGGUUUAUGGGUCAAGGAUAUGAGGAUCACUUGGUUACCCAGGAGGCAGAUAUCCCUAAGGUUGACCGCGAACAGUGGAGGAAGAUAGAUGCACAGUUGUGUAGUGUAUUAUGGCAAUCGGUUGAUCCCCGGAUUCUUCUUCAUCUUCAGGCCUAUAAAACUUGUUUUAAAUUUUGGACUCAGGCCAAAGGAUUAUACACGAAUGAUAUCCAGCGUCUUUAUAAGGUGGCUUCUGCUAUUGUCCAUCUCAGCCAACAGGACUUGGAUCUAUCGACUUAUAUUGGUCAGAUUACCUCUCUUAAGGAGCAGUUCUUGACUGUGAUGCCUCUUACUCCUGAUGUUGGGGCUCAACAAAUACAGCUUGACAAGUUCUUCAUGGUCCUUACUCUUAUUGGCCUCCGUCCGGAUCUUGAGCCUAUUCGUGAUCAGAUUCUUGGUAGUUCAUCAGUUCCGUCCUUGGAUGAUGUGUUUGCUCGCCUCCUCCGUAUCUCGUCCACUCAGACUUUGCCAUCUGAUAGCGCUUCAGAUUCUUCUGUGUUAGUUUCUCAAACUACCUCUCGAGGAGGACGCAGUGGUACCCGAGGUAGAGGCCAACGUCCUCAUUGCACCUAUUGCAAUAAACUUGGCCACACUCGCGAUCGUUGCUAUCAGUUACAUGGAAGACCUCCUCGCACUGCCCAUAUGGCCCAGUCCUCUGAUUCUCCGCUGCCUCAGACUCCGAGCUCCUCCGCAUCUCAGACAUCUCAGGCUUCUAUUGCCUCUGUUGCCCAGCCUGGUAAUGCCUCUGCCUGCCUUACCCACACAUCUUCUCUUGGACCCUGGAUUCUAGAUUCUGGAGCAUCUGAUCACCUAUCUGGUAAUAAGGAUCUUUUCUCCUCUAUUACUACUACCUCUGAUUUACCUACUGUUACCUUAGCUAAUGGUUCUCAAACUGUGGCUAAAGGUAUUGGUUUGGCCCUUCCUCUGCCUUCUCUACCUCUCACUUCUGUCCUUUAUACUCCUGAAUGUCCUUUUAAUCUUAUUUCCAUCAGCAAAAUCACUCGUACUCUUAAUUGCUCUAUUACCUUUUCUGAUAAAUUUGUGACCUUGCAGGACCGGAGUACGGGGAAGACGAUUGGCAUAGGACGUGAGUCUCAAGGCCUCUAUCACCUCACCUCAGAUUCAUCUCCUGCAGUUUGCAUUUCCACUGAUGCUCCUCUCCUCAUUCACAAUCGUCUGGGCCACCCUAGUCUCUCCAAGUUCCAGAAGAUGGUUCCUCGUUUUUCAACUUUGUUGUCGCUUCCGUGUGAGUCAUGUCAGCUUGGGAAACAUACUCGUGUCUCGUUCCCAAAGCGUUUGAAUAAUCGGGCAAAGUCUCCUUUUGAGCUUGUCCACACUGAUGUUUGGGGUCCUUGUCGGACUGCGUCUACUUUAGGAUUUCAGUAUUUUGUCACUUUCAUUGAUGACUAUUCUCGAUGUACUUGGUUAUUUUUAAUGAAAAAUCGAGCUGAGUUAUUCUCUAUUUUCCAGAAAUUUUAUACUGAAAUCCAAACCCAGUUCAAUAUUUCUAUUCGUGUGUUACGCAGUGACAAUGCCAGGGAAUAUUUUUCAGCCCAAUUUACUUCGUUUAUGUCUCAUCAUGGGAUUCUUCAUCAGUCUUCUUGUGCUCAUACUCCUCAACAAAAUGGGGUAGCUGAACGCAAGAAUCGACAUCUUGUUGAGACAGCUCGUACUCUCCUCCUCCAUAGUCAUGUUCCUUUUCGCUUUUGGGGGGACGCUGUUCUUACCGCUUGUUAUUUGAUUAAUCGUAUGCCCUCCUCUGUCUUACACGAUCAGAUUCCUCACUCCCUUCUUUUCCCUGACCAACCACUUUAUUUCCUUCCUCCUCGUGUCUUUGGUUGUACUUGCUUUGUUCAUAUUCUCACUCCUGGACAGGACAAGCUUUCCGCCAAAGCCAUGAAGUGCCUCUUUUUGGGAUAUUCCAGACUUCAGAAGGGUUAUCGUUGUUAUUCCCUUGAGACUCAUCGGUACUUUAUCUCCGCUGAUGUCACCUUCUUUGAGGACUCACCAUUCUUUUCCACCACUUCUGAGUCUCUUCCUGUUUCUGAAGUCUUGCCCAUUCCCAUUGUCUCCCCACCUGAUGCUAUGCCCCCUCGACCACUUCAGGUUUAUCAUCGCCGCCCUCGUGUCGUUGCUCCUCUCCCUUUUCCUGAGGCACCUGCUGACUCACUUCCUAUCCCUUCGGCUUCACCUGCCCCGGCUCUGCCUUCUCCUAAUGACUUACCUAUUGCUGUUCGGAAAGGUACUCGCUCUACUCGUAAUCCUCAUCCUAUUUACAAUUUUUGAGUUAUCAUCGAUUAUCUUCACCCUAUUCUGCUUUUGUUUCUGCUAUAUCCUCUGUUUCUCUUCCAAAGAGCACCCAUGAAGCUCUUUCCCAUCCAGGCUGGCGACAGGCAAUGGUGGAUGAAAUGGCUGCUCUGCACUCUAAUGGCACUUGGGAUCUUGUUGUUUUACCCUCUGGUAAAUCUACAGUUGGUUGUCGUUGGGUCUAUGCAGUUAAGGUUGGUCCUGAUGGUCAGGUUGAUCGCCUUAAGACCCGUUUAGUUGCUAAAGGCUAUACUCAAGUUUAUGGUUCUGAUUAUGGUGACACAUUCUCCCCUGUUGCCAAGAUUGCUUCUGUCCGCUUGCUUCUCUCCAUGGCUGCUAUGUGUUCUUGGCCUCUUUAUCAGUUGGAUAUUAAAAAUGCCUUCCUUCAUGGUGAUCUUGCCGAGGAAGUUUAUAUGGAGCAACCUCCUGGUUUUGUUGCUCAGGGGGAGUCUGGUUUAGUGUGCAGGUUACGCCGUUCUCUAUAUGGCUUGAAACAAUCUCCUCGAGCAUGGUUUAGCCGUUUUAGUUCUGUUGUUCAAGAGUUUGGCAUGCUUCGCAGUACAGCAGACCAUUCAGUUUUUUAUCAUCAUCACUCCUUGGGGCAGUGUAUUUAUCUGGUUGUUUAUGUGGACGACAUCGUCAUUACAGGCAGUGAUCAGGAUGGUAUUCAGAAACUAAAGCAACAUCUUUUUACCCACUUUCAGACCAAAGACUUGGGGAAACUCAAGUAUUUCUUGGGAAUUGAGAUAGCUCAAUCCAGUUCUGGUGUGGUCCUUUCCCAAAGGAAGUAUGCUUUAGACAUCCUGGAAGAAACCGGUAUGUUAGACUGUAAACCGGUAGACACACUCAUGGAUCCGAAUGUCAAACUUAUACCAAGACAGGGGGAGCCUUUAGGAGACCCCGGGAGAUAUCGACGGCUCGUAGGUAAAUUGAACUAUCUCACCAUUACUCGUCCAGACAUUUCUUUUCAUGUGAGUGUUGUUAGUCAAUUCCUACAGUCACCAUGUGAUAGCCAUUGGGAUGCCGUAAUCCGUAUCCUUCGAUAUAUCAAAAGUACACCAGGCCAAGGUGUAUUGUACGAGAACAGAGGUCAUACUCAAGUUGUUGGUUACACAGAUGCAGAUUGGGCUGGCUCACCCACAGAUAGACGUUCCACUUCAGGGUACUGUGUUUUUAUUGGAGGUAAUCUAAUAUCUUGGAAGAGUAAGAAACAAGAUGUAGUGGCCAGAUCUAGCGCUGAAGCCGAGUAUCGAGCUAUGGCUUUGGCAACAUGUGAACUCAUAUGGUUGAGACAUCUUCUUCAGGAGUUGAGAUUUGGAAAGGAUGAACAGAUGAAACUCAUCUGUGAUAACCAGGCCGCAUUACAUAUUGCAUCCAAUCCAGUCUUUCAUGAAAGGACCAAGCAUAUUGAAGUUGACUGUCAUUUCAUUAGAGAGAAGAUCGCAUCAGGAUGUGUUGCUACAAGUUUUGUCAAUUCAAAUGAUCAACUAGCAGACAUCUUCACUAAAUCCCUCAGAGGUCCUAGGAUUAAAUAUAUUUGUAACAAGCUUGGUGCAUAUGACGUAUAUGCUCCAGCUUGAGGGGGAGUGUUGAAUAUAAUGCAUGUAUAGUAUACUAUCUUUCCUUGUUAAUAUAGGUCACAUGUAUGGUAGUUAGGACUCCUAGCCUUGUAUAUAUAUAUCUCUCAAUUGUAAGUAGAGAUUACAAUGAAUGAGAAUAAGGUUUUUCUCCUCUCUCUCUCUCUCUCUCAACAGUAUUCAAUAAAAAAAAUUAUAAAAAUCAGUAGAACAUUUUAUGAAAUAUGAACAAAAAACAUAUGAAUUUAUAUUCUGGGAUAAGGCUACUUCCUUUGCAAACACCUAAAAUGCAACUUCAGAAAACUCAACGAAGUUUUAUCCCACUACUUUGUUCAUAUUGGAAUUGAUACUUGAUCUCCAACCGAAAGACUGGAAAUUUCAAAGUUGAAAAGUAAUGUCACGAUAGAUAAGUAUUAGAGUUCGCAGUGAACUGCACUGGUGUAGCCAUAACGUGCUGACAGGCAGGCAGUGAUAGUCAUAGCAUAGAAUGGUGCUAGAUAUGUAAAAGAUGAUGGCAGUGCAAACUUGCUGAGAAGGUGGUGAAGUGAUUGCGAUCAUGUCAUGAUUGUUUAUAGUAAGAGGAGCUAAUGGUGGAAAUAAAGGUGCCAAAAUUGAUAACAUGGGAUGCAGUGGAAAUUUUUGAGGUGUAUUAGGUGUGUUGAUACAUAUAGUCGCUUCCAGAUGAGAGGUCUGGAUACAACAACACAGGUUGAUGAGGAGGAAGAUUGUGUAAAAGGUAGCAACAGGUUCUAGGUGGGCAGUGGUAGUAUGGCCAUAGUAUUGGAGGUGAUAGAAGCAAUGAGGAGGAUAUAAAGGGUAGCGAACAAUUUGAUCAAUUUCCCCGUAAGUAAAAUGAAUGUGGAUAAGGUGGUAAUGGCUGUAACAGGAUAUCAAAGCAGAAGAUGGCAGAAGCAGUGACAACAGAAAUGGUGUUCCUAGGGGCCUAGCAGUGGUAGCAGUGGAUCUAUAAGGGGCUGAAAAAUUAGAAUUAGAACACAUUUCCAACUUUUGGAUGGACUUCUGUUCCAUCUCAAAAUGUUUUGAAAUAUGUUCAUUUCCAAGUCGACUGCAGUGACACCCUGAAAAAAUAUGGAACUUUUUCCGUACUUCAGAAUUGAAAACAACCAUAUUCUGUUUUGAAUGAACAAGGUUAAGAAGUGUUCAAAUGCCAAAUAAAUACAAGAUAUCCUGAAAAGAAAGCAACAAGAGCCACAUACCGCAGUAUAGCAUGCUUUCUCAUGUGAUGAAGGUUUUCCAAAAUGAACAGUUCGAGUUAUAUCAGUUGUUCCAUCUUGAUACUUCAAAGACACCAUAUCAUCAGUAAAGAAUAGCAAUAUCAUAAACACAAAGUUAAUACAAAAAAUGGACUUAUUGUAUUGCCUUCUUUGGUUAAUGGCUAUAUCCCAAACAAUUCAAGAUAGUUGGCAAACCUGCGCUCCAGAAUCAAAUAGAUAAAUGCUAUCGGGAUCUAACUCAGAACAUGUUUCUGCAUCUGGAGAAUAAUGAAUGAUAGCUGCAUUUGGACCAACCGAUGAAAUAGUAGGAAAACUUAAUCCUCUAAAAUGCUGCAAAAAGAAGCCAUCAAGAAUAUUACACAUAAUGCUAUCUAUUUAAUGAAAUACAAAGUUCUAUCAGAAGAUAGAGAAGAAUAACAAAAAUAAAACUAAUCUAGGAAAAACAAAAAUAUCACAAAACAAAUUACAUGAAAGGACUUAUCAGAAAUACAUCUCCUAGAAAAUCAUUCAAGCAAAAAGGGCGUCUUAAGUUACUUCAUAGUGGUAUUGAAGAGAUAGGACAAGUCUACAAUCAACAAUCAUGAUCAUUAUAAAAAAGUACAGCAACAAAAUCAACAAAUCCCCUUGUUCAAACUAUCAAUGCCAUCUGGUAAUGUUGAAAUGACACUUUUGACUGUCAGUAUAACAAAAACUUUUCUAUAAAGUACCUCUUUUGAUGCUCGAAAACUUUCUAGCUUAUCACUUGCAGAUACCUCUGUCAGUUUCAUAGUUUCCCUGACAAAGUUAGACAGACAAUAAUUAUCAAAAUAGAAACUAUUGUGUAGAAGCUUUUUUUUUAAAAAAAAAAAGAAACAAAUUCAAUAUGACCCAUGAUUUCAGACCCAUAACAGUGAAGUCUAGGAUAUUUAUAUGCACCUAGACAUCCAGAAGAAUUAAAUGUGGAUUAUACCCUGUGACGUUUAAGGAGUAGUAAAAUGUUUCUGACAAGUACAAGACUUAGCUUUCCUUUUAAUAGAAACCCCCAUCCAUACUUAUAAGUCAAAACACAUUUAUAUUAAAUAGGCACUGUUUUAUUUAUUUAAUACCCCCAUUGGCAUCAUUGAUGAAAGAGAUGUGAAUUUUAAUCUAUCUAUAUAUGCAAAGUAAAACAUCAUCAUGUAAUAAUCCAGAAAAUACAUUACAGUAAUUCAUUUUCUGUUACAGAGCAUGAUAUGCAUUGUGGGUCAAAAUCCAAACAACUUAAGCUUUUAGGAAAAUCGUCCAACAUGAUAUCAGUCUCAUUGAAUGGGAGGUCAUGAGUUCACACCUCACUGCAUGUUUAGUUCUCCAAUUUAUCGAGUCUACAUGCUUAACCCAAUUGCUUCGAAACUAACUUUCCAAACUAUACACACUUGAAAUAAAAUAACAACUUGGAGAAAGGCAUGAUCCUCUAGCAAUGAUAAGUGGGAAAAAAACGGAUGCAGAAGUUAGUCUACACCAUAUAUGCCUAUAUGAGUACAUUAACUAAAAACAAUGGUUAAAGGUAUAAGCAGACUAAUGGUAUCACUAAGUUCUACUGACAGUUGGUGUGAGUGAAACAAGUUGGUAGUAGCUGAUAAGCCAUGAUUUAACCAAAAUAAAAUAUUUAACAUCUAAAAGAAUCUCGAGAAAAAAUAAUAAUGCAACUCAUCGAGGGCCAAGUCUCCUUCUUCAUCUUCUUCUCUUUCUAAGACUAGACCCUUAGGUUUGGAAGUGGGCUGUUAAGUCAAUUAUUAGAAGUUGCAACAUUCAUAGGUGGGGACUUCCACUAGGCUCAUGGGAGUUGAAACUAGGUUGUUGAGGAUGGUGCUUCAAGAUGGAACAUCUAUGGUGUUUCCAAAAAAUGCGCAAGGGGAUUAGUAUGGAAGCCAUGGUUAGGUUAAAAGAGACACUAAGCUGUUGUUCAACGGGGUGAGGAUCCUCUCUUUGAAUGUUUUUUCACAAGUUAGUAGCUUUUAGGAGCUUUAUUGAGAUGCCAAUGUUGGGAUUUGAAAAGGAUGUAAUGUCCCUUUUGAGGAAGAUGGAGGCUAGGAGAGAGUAUAGUCUGUCUUUGAGGGCAAAGAGGAAGUCCAUAUGGAUAUCUCGGUUUGUGAGGGACCUUCAGAGGUUGGAAUACUCAGUUGGCUACAAAGAUUCUUCCAAAAAUGAAAGGGGUUGUGGGAGCAGCAGUUGAAACCCAACCCUGGUUGCAUGACAAAACUAAAAAUCCUUUCUUGGAAGGUCAAAGGAGCCAACAAAGACAUCAAGGGGGAGAUCUAGUUUACUUUCAAAAAUCCAAGAUAGAACAUAUGUCCACACAACUAGUGAGGAGCUAGGGAGUAGGAAGAUUUUGGGAGUGGGGAGCUGUGGAUGCCAGAGGACCAUCAGGAGGCAUACUAGUCAGUUAGGACCAUAGGGUGCUAGAAUUGAUUGGUAUAGAAGUGAGAGUUUUCUCUAGAGUUUAUGGGCUGAUCCAAGAGGGGAAAGAGAGGAUUUUUGGGGGUGGAUUUGAGGGCCAUAAGAGGUAUUUGGUAUGACCUGUGGUGCUUAAGAAAGAAUUUUAGUAUGGUCAAAUUUCUUGAGGGAAGGACAAAUUACCUAAGAAUGUCUUCUGAUAUGAAGCGCUUUUUGGAAGUCUUAAAGCUGAACUUGAGGGAUAUUGUGCUAGUUUGAGGGCGAUUCAUUUGGUGCGGUGGUCAGAAUUUUCAAUCUUCUUUGAGGCUUAACCACUUCUUAGGGUCAAAUGAUUGAAAGCAACAUUUUUCUGACCUAAUUCAAUGUGUUCUACCUCAACUGAUUUCAGAUCAUUCUCACAUGAUUUUAGAUGGUUGUGGGAUGCAGAGGGGUAAAUCUCCCUUUAGAAUUGAAAAUAUGUUGCUUAAAUCGAAAGGAUUCAAAUACCUAGUGAGGAACUAAUGGAUGGUAAUGUGAGUGGUUCUUUUAGUUACAUUCUGGUAGCAAAACUGAAAGGCCUCAAAUAGGAUUCAAAAAGGUGGGAAAAAAGGUCUUUAGAAAACAUCGUUACUAAAAAAUUUGAGGUCCUAAAGAGUGGUUCAUUUAGUUACAUUCUGGUAGUAAAACUGAAAGCCCUCAAGUAGGAUUCAAGAAGGUGGGAAAAAAGGUCUUUAGAAAACAUUGUUACUAAAAAAUUUGAGGUCCUAAAGCAGAUCGGUUUCCAGGAUUCUAAGGAAAGAGAUGCAGUCCUCACUGUUGAAGAGUCUACGAGCAAAAGGUUACUUGUAGCUGAGUUUAACAAGUGGACCUCAUUGGAAGAAGUGAUGAGGAGGCAGAAAUUAAGACAAACCAUGCCAAAAGAGGAGAAUAAAAGUACAGGAUAAAAAUACCAAAUUCUUUCAUAAAAUGACCGAUGCACACAGGAGAAACCAUUUGUCCAAAGUCAGUGUCAAUGGGAAUCUAUUGAUCGAGGAAGUGGAUAUUAAUGAGGGGUGUCUUGGGCUUUCCAAUAUUGCUCCUACUGAAGUAAGGGAUUGGAAACCCAGCAUUAGUGGGAUGCAAUUUGAAAUGCUAGGAAGCAAUGAUCCUAGGAAAUUGGAGGCACCUAUCUCUGAGAAGGAAUCCAAUUUAUGCAGGGAUAAACCAAGGUCAAAUGGUUUUACCAUAGCAUUUUGAGAGAUGAGUUGGGACUUCAUAAAAACCGGGAUGAUGGGCUUCUUCAGGGAGUUCUUUGAUAAUAGCUCCUUUGAGAGAAUCCUAAAUGCUACUUUCUUAAUCUUGAUUCCAUAGAAAGGUGGAGUUGAGGACUUCAAAGAUUUCGGACUCAUUAGUUUAGUUGGGCGGGUGUGUAAGCUCCUAGUUUAAGUUCUAGCCAAUCAGCUCAAAAAGGUAGUAGGCAAGGUGGUUUCAAUUGACCAACCAGCUUUUGUGUAGGUCAAACAAAUUUGGGAUGCAACCCUUAAUGAGAAUGAGGCUUCAGAUUCAAUGCUAAAGAGCACCAAUAGCAAGGUCAUCUGUAGGUUGGACAUUGAAAAAGGAUAUGAUUAUGUAAAUUGGGACUUCUUGAUAACGGUUUUUGAGAAAAUGAGCUUUGGCCAAAAAUGGGUGAGAUAGAGCAAAUGGUGCAUUUUUAUGAUGAGAUUCUCCAUUGUAGACAACAUAGUCCUGUCUCAUUUUUUCUAGAGUUCAAGGGGAUUGAGGUAAGUAGACCCUCUUUCCUUUUACCUCUUUAUUUUGGAAAAUGAGGAAAUUAGCUAGAUCCUAAGGAAGGUCAAUGAAAAGAGGUUUCAUCUUGGGAUUCAAAAUAGAAAGAAUGGGUGGGGAGGGAAUGGAAGUUUUGUUAUUCACUAACAACACCUUAAUUUUUUGUGAUGCUAACCAAGAGCAAUUGAAGCAUCAAAGGACUAAGCUAGCCUUCACACAAUUUUAGACAAUAUAUGAUUUACGGAGAAAAAUGAGCUAAUUCUGAUAAAGUUGCAAAUAUGGAGAGUCUAACCUCAAUAUUGAUCUAUAGGAUUGAGAGCCUACCUACUACAUAUUUGGGUCUAUGUUUGGGUACUCCUCACAAAUCAAUACUGAUAUGGGAUUCAGUGGAGACGAGACUUCACAGAGAGCUAGCCUCUUAUAAGAGGCAAUACCUAUCAAAAGGAAGGACACUUACCUUGAUCAAAAGCACAUUGUCAAGCCUACUAAUUUAUUUCAUGUCUCUACUUAUCAUUUGAGCUGGGUAAGCUUAAGACUAGAGCAGAUCCAAAGGGAUUUCCUAUAGGGUGGAGGGCACUUGAGAGAAAGUCAGUCUACAAUUUGUUUGGACCAAAAGGAUUGAGGACUUGGCAUAAAAAAUUUCCAUACUUCUAAUAAGACUUUUCUUAGUAAAUGGAACUAGAGAUUUGCCUUUGAGAGAGAGAAUGGGACAAAAGAUGCGAAAUGGUGCUUAAGGGUGGUAAGCAAUGGUUAUAGGGUAGGGUUGUGAAAGGAUAUUAGAAUCAGGUCCGAAAUCUUUAGAAGUAGAGCUCGCUCAUGAUGGGUAAUGGCAGGAGGGAAAAAUUUUAGAUAGAUAGAAGGCGUCGAGAAAGUUCUUUAGAAGAGUCUUUACCAGUAUUGUUUUCAAUAGCCACUAAUAAAGACUCUUUGAUGGCAGAUAUAUGGGAACAAGAUAGGGAGGAAGGCUGGUGAAGUCCUCAUUCCAUAAACAAUUCCAUGAUUAGGAAUUGAAAUGAGUGGAGGUCUUUUUAUGAAGAUUGCAAUCAACCUUAAUUAGAAGGGAUAAGGAGGACAAAUCAGGGGUUGGAAGGCACAAUGAUAGAAACUUGGAGAUUCCUUUUACUAAGGAAGAAGUGUUAGCCGCCUUGUCCAAUCUGUGUAGAGAUAAAGUUCCAAGGUAAGAUGGUUUUAUGGUGGCGAUUUGUACAUGAGCUAGGAUUUUGUAAAACCUGAGGUAGUGGUUUUCUUCAAGAAGUUCUUUGUCAUUAGAUCUUUUGGAGAAGCUUAAAUGACUCCUCCUUGGUCUUGGUCCCCAAAAAAAAAAGACAGAGCUAAGGACCUAAAUGAUUCCAGACCUAUUAGCUUAUUUUUGGGGUUAUAAGCUCCUAGCAUAAGUCCUAGCCAAUAGGUUCAAAAAGGUGUUAAGGAAAGUGGUCUCAAUUUACCAGCAUGCUUUUAUGGGGGGUAGACAAACUCUAUAUGCUUAGUGUCACAAGAUGCUUCAAAUGACCCUCCCCAUGGGCUUAUAUAAGAGGUAGGAAGCUUCUAGAGACCCUUGGAGACAUCUACACUUAGCUACAAGGUGGAAGAGUGUGGAAGCUUUUAGAAAAGGCUAGAGAUGUCCACACAUCUCUACACUUGGCUAGGAGACCACUGGAAAAGUGUGGGGUGUUCUAGAAUCUUCCAAAGUCAUCUUAUACAUGACCUUGUACAUAGACUAGUGUAGGAGCUUCUAGAUUAUUCUUGAUUUGUAAAGAACCCUUCAAGGUUCUAGAGACUUCCUAAGGUGCCUAUAAAUAGGUUAAGGCCUCAUUUGGCCAAGGUACCACCCAAAAUCAUUUCCUAACCAAGCAAGUGAGUUCCAAAGCACUUGUAAAGCUUCCUUUGAGCAAUAAAAGCUUCCAUUCUUCAAGAAUUGCCUACUACGCCUUCUAAAGUUUCCAAGUCGUGAGCAUCUUAACCUAGCAAGCUAAGCAUCGGGAAUAAGGUUGACUUAGUAAGAUCAAAUGUCUUAACUUGUCUAAGUACCACACAAGCUUAAGAAAAGACUAAGUCCGUGACAGUUGGUAUCAGAGCGUAGCUACGAAGCGUGCAUAGUAAAGGAAGCAUGUCGGGCUCCAACAUGGCCGAGACUAGUGAGCAAACCCGUAGGAGGGAGACCGAGCCUACUGCACGGGGCAGGGGUAGGAAGGAUAAAUCUCAUAAUGCCAUAGCCAACAUGGAGGCAAGGCUAGCCAAGGUGGAGCUAGCCAUGGCAGACACCCGGGAAGGAGUGGACUUGAUCGAGCAAGGCAUGGAGAAAGGCUUAGAGGAUCUGAGGGAGCAUAUCCAAGAAUGGCAGACACCCGGGAAGGAGUGGACUUGAUCGAGCAAGGCAUGGAGAAGGGCUUAGAGGAUCUGAGGGAGCAUAUCCAAGACCUUCGUGAGGAGGUGCUAGGCUCACAAGUUCAGCCGGUGUCACAUGAGGAGUUCAUGUCCUUUCAAGACAAGGUCAUGAGCAUGUUUGCUAGCAUGGAGUCAAGAGUGGAGGCAUUGGUUGCACGCAUGGAGGCCCGAGACCAGGAGGUUCGACAAAAGCCGGCCAUCUACAAGAUUGUCGUAUCAACACGAGUCAUAGCCACUCAUGAGGCACCAAGGGUGGAGGUGCCCAAGCCACACACAUUCAAUGGCAAAAGGGAUACCAAGAAGCUAGACAACUUCUUGUGGCACAUGGAGCGCUACUUUGAGGCUAUCGCACUAACGGAUGAAGACACUAAGGUACAUACCGCGACCCUCUACCUCAUCGAUAAUGCUACUCUAUGGUGGCGUCGAAGGUUUGUUGAUAUAGAAAAAGGGACAUGCACCAUAGACACAUGGGAUGCCUUUAAGCGAGAGAUCAAAAGACAAUUCUACCCUGAGGAUAUGGCUUACCUAGCAAGGAAAAACAUGAAGCGUCUCAAACACACGGGCUUGAUCCGUGAAUAUGUCAAAGAGUUCUCUACACUUAUGCUUGAGAUAUCCAACAUGUCCAAGGAGAAGCUACUAUUCAACUUAAUGGACAACUUGCAAAGUUGGACCGAGCAAGAGUUGAGGAGACGUGGUGUCCAAGACCUAGCCAUGGCCAUGGCAAUAGUAGAGUCUUUAACGGAUUACAAGAGGGGAGACUCCUCCAAGAUUAAGUCUUUGGAGAAUAGCCAUGCUAUGGGUGGGGGAGACGAGGUUUCAAGGGACCACAAUGCUCCUAAAAUGGGAUAAGGCAAGACGUGGGAAGGAAGGGGUAAGGCAGAAAGGAAGGAGUUUACGCCUAAAAUCAAAUGCUUCCUAUGUGACGGUCCACAUUGGGCAUGGGAUUGUCCAAAAAAGAAAGUGCCCAGUGCCAUGAUUGAGGAGAGAGAAUAGGAAGAUGAAGCACAUAUGGGCUUGGUGCAACUACUAGGUGCCCUCCAAGUCAACCCAAAGCCUAGUAUGCCUAAGACCUCCUUACUAUCGGGGGUGCAAGUAAAAGAGGCAAAAGGGGAGCAAGCUAAGGUAGCCCACACACACAUGGACAAGGUCACCAAGAGAAAGGUGAACUCAAUGGGCAAGAGGAAGCAGCACUCCAAGCAUCGAAAGUGUAGGUGUCUGCAUCCAUCCUAGGCCUCACGGGAGAAGGAGGUGAAAAAUACCCUGGUUGAACGAGUCACCAGGAGACAAGAGUUCCCUCCCGUGAUAGAGUAUCUAGUUCAAUGGAAAUGACUACCUAAGAGGCAGGCAAGCUAGGAACAUGCAAAUACCUUGAGAAGGUUCUGGAAACACAUUGAGAGGUUUCAAGAAGAGACAACAACGGGGACGUCGACGGCAUGGGUGGGGGAGAGUGUUACAAGAUGCUUCAAAUGACCCUUCCCAUGGGCUUAUAUAAGAGGUAGUAAGCUUUUAGAGACCCCUGGAGACAUCUACACUUAGCUACAAAGUGGAAGAGUGUGAAAGCUUCUAGAAAAGACUAGAGAUGUCUCACACAUCUCUACACUUAGCUAGGAGACCACUGGAAAAGUGUGAGGUGUUCUAGAAUCUUCCAAAGUCAUCUUGUACAUGGCCUUGUACAUAGACUAGUGUAGGAACUUCUAGAUUGUUCUUGAUUUGUAAGGAACCCUUCAAGGUUCUAGAGACUUCUUAAGGUAGGUUAAGACCUCAUUUGGCCAAGGCACCACCCAAAAUCAUUUCCUAACCAAGCAAGUGAGUUCCAAAACACUAUUAAAGCUUCUUUUGAGCAAUAAAAGCUUUCAUUCUUCAAUAAUUGCCUACUACGCCUUCUAAAACUUCCAAGUUGUAAGUAUCUUAGCCUAGCAAGCUAAGCAUCGGGAGUAAGGUUGACUUAGCAAGAUCAAGUGUCUUGACUUGUCUAAGUGUCAUACGAGCUUAGGAAAAGAAUAAGUUCGUGACAUUAGGCUCUAGUUUAAAAAAAGUCUAAUAGUGGCAUUAUUUGUAAACAAGACAUUGAAAGGGCUAUGAACAUGUAAAUUGGGAUUUCCUACUAAGGGUACUAGUUAAAAUGGGCUUCAGUAAAAAAUAAGUGAGAUGGAUCAAAUGGUGUAUAUCUAAUACAAAAUUUUAUGUCCUUGUCAACAAGAUUUAAACCAGUGUUUUCUAGAGCUCCAUAGGUUUAAGGUAGGGAAACCAUCUUUACCUCUACCUUGUCAUUUUGGGGAUGUAGUCUUUCAAUCAGAUUUUAAGAAGGGUACGAGAAAGGGCCUCCAUAUUAGAAUACAAAGUUGGAGAAAGAGUUGGCAAGGGUAUGGAAUUGUCCCCUUGUUGUUUGCUAAUGACACUUUAAUUUUCUAUGAUGCUAACCAAGAGUAGUUGGAGCACCAAAGUUGGGCUUUCAUUUGAUUUGAGGCAAUCUCUGGCCUAAAGACAAUGAACAUGGAGAAACAUGAGCUUAUUAUGGUAGAGGAAGUUAAAAAAAUGGAAAGCCUUGUUGAUUAUAAUGUAGGAAAUCUGCCUACUACAUAUCUAAGCCUUCCUUUGGAAGCUCCUCACAAAUUAAUGAGAAUAUAAUAUUCAAUGGAGGAGAGAUUUCAGAGAAAGCUUGCCUUGUAGAAGAGACAAAAUCUCUCAAAUGGGCUUACCUUGAUCAAAAGCUCAUUGUCUAGCUUGCCUAAGUUAAACUAAAUCCAAAGGGAUUUUCUUUGGCCAAAGGAGGUGGGGGGGGGGGGGGGGGGGGGGGGGAUAAGGAAAAACCCCAUUUAGUUAAGUGGUCUAUAUCCAUUUAGGCAAGAGUGGAGCUCUUGGUAUAAAAAAUCUUCAUAUUCUUAACAGAGUUCUUUUGGGCAAAUGGUGAUAGAGAUUUACUACCGAGAGUAAGUCCCUUUGGAAGCAAGUCAUGGUACAAAAGUUAGAGGUAGAAAAAGGGAGUUGGUGUUUAAGGGAAGUGGGGGAUUUCCAUCGAGUGGGUUGUGGAAGGCUAUUAGAGUUGGAUAGGUCUUUAGAAUUAGAUAUCACUUCAUUGUUAGUAAUGGCAAAAGGGUAAAAUUUCGAAAAGAUAGAUGGUGCGGAGAAAGUUCUUUAGAAGAACCAUUCCUAAUGUUGUUUUCUAUAGUUGUUGCUUAAGACUCUUGGGUAGCAAAGUUAUGGAAGUAGAUUGGCAAGGAAAACUAAUGGAGUCCCUAAUUUCACAGACAAUUCCAUAAUUAGGAAUUGGAAAGAGUGAAGACCUUCCUCUAAAGACUGCAUUCAUGUUCGAUAAUAGAGGAAGUGGAGGAUAAAUUGGGCUCGAAGGAAACUAAGAGUGACAAUUUCUCUAACAAAUCUUUCUAUGCUUCCUUAACCCCAGGAAGAAGUGUGCCCUUCCCCACAAGCCCAGUUUAGGGUGCUGUUCCAAGGGCACCUCAAAUCAAAGGAUCUUGAGAAGGUUAAUCCCCAGCAUCAACCCUUAUGCUUGGUGUCUCUCACUAACAAGCAUAAAGGGGAAUCAAACCAAGAGCCUCUAUCCCAACCCUAUUCAGUGGUAAGGUGAGAUAAUGUCAACAGCAUUAAGUCUUUGUCAGGGAUCACCCAGCCUUAGCCUUAACUCAGGCAGGCAUCAAGCAUUAUGGCAUGGUGUCAAGAACAUCUAUGAGGGAUUUUGAGAAGGUUAGUGCCCAGCAUUGACCUAGCACUUGGUGACUCACAAUAUUGAAUGUAGACACCCCUUUCUUGGAGGUGGAGGAGAAAGCAAAGAGAAUAUGUAAAGCUUCUUGAGGCCCUUGUUGGUUAGGACUCUGAAUGACAGCAUGCUUAGCAUUGAGGCCUCUUUGUAAAACCAAGCCAACUGUUCACAUGUAUCCUAUGGAUAUAAAGCCAAGCAGGUACUAGACAAAUGAUGUAUUAACAAUAAAACAUUAAUAUAUCAUAGUAUUGCACAAGAUUUAGCAAAACCCAAUGUUUUCAUAACUGGAUUGACCAUUGAAUCGAAAAUAUUACCGGUUCACGGUUCAUUGGUCAAACCCGUGGUUGAACCACGGUCAAAACAAUGACGUCAUAAGUAUAUAAUUUAUAUAUUAUUAAAAUUAAAAAUAUUUAUAAAAAAUUAUAUAUAUAUAUAUAUAUAUAUAAUUAAAAUUUUUAAUAAUAUUUAUUUUUAUAUUUAAUAUAUUAAAUGAUAAAAUUAAAUAUAAACGUAUUUUGAAAAAACGCAAUUUUUAUUAGAUAAUCCAAUUUUUAGGCCCAUUUUUCAAAGAACCAUAUGGACAUUCAUUUUUAUGCUUAAUCUCCACCAUUCAUUUAAAAAAACAAAACCCUCUCUUCUCAUCACUAGUCGUUCCUUUUUUCCCCCUUUCUUUUCUUCUUCAUUUCUUCUUCCCAUCACCAUUCGCCCUUUUUCCCCCUUUCUCUUCUUCUUCUUCUUUCCCUCUCUGUCACACCAUACCUAUGCGUAAUCCCCCUCUCUCACCAUACCUGUGCGCUGGCGCCUACCCCAACUAGCAGCCAUCUCACUGUCAGCAGCAGCUCAAGCGUGACUGCUGAUCGCCGACCAACAGUCGUCCCAUUCCACCAUCUCACUAUCUCUCUCUCAUGGAAAAAAAAAAACAUGCAGUGACCUGUUCAAUUCACUACAAAUCAGCCAGUUCACUUGGUUCGCCGGUCCAACCGUCGAUUUCAACGGUUUGACACCAAACCGGAAAUGCCACCGAUUUAGUCUGGUUUUUAUAACAAUGGCAAAACCACAACAAUUUCCAGAACUAGCAUUGAAAACUAAACAUUUUGUUCUCUUUAACCAUCAGAGAUUUCUUUUUCUUUUUUUGUUUUUUUUUUUUUUUAAUUCAACUAAGCUUCAUAAUGUUUCAAAAUAAGAUAAAUUUUCCAAUGUUGAUUUCCAGCCCUCCAAAAGAACCCAAAUAUCAAUUAUAUUCCUUUAAUAUUUUUUAGGAAUAACAGAAUGUAACUGCUACUGCAUACCAAUAGAUUACAACCAUGGUUUGAAAUGUCGAAAUUUUUCAGUGAAAUAUCCUCAAUAUUUCGGUUAUCGGAGCAAAUUGACACAUAUUCCUCACCAAUAAUCAGUCGACCGAUUUUUCGCCCAUUUUUUUGAAAUUUCGCCUAAACAUCUACAUUUUUUCCGAUUUUUUGGGAAAUUUCCUGAUAUUUUUUAUGGUUAAGUCUAGUUGACCAUUCAAUUGCGUUGAAGCCUACUGCCUACCCCCUUCAAACUUCAAAUUUUUUUGAAAUUGUUUAUGUUGCUGCUUAGGGGAUUCGAACCUUGGCCAAAAAACUUGGGUUCAAUCCUGGUUACCACUAGACUAAGUUCACACUUAUUAAUAUAUGUUGAUAAUAAAUUUGUUAAAUUUCAUUAUUAAAAAAUUAAUUAAUUAAUCUUAAUUAUUUUACUUUAAAUUUUAUUUAGUUAAUUAAUAAAUGUAUAAAAACCAUCAUUAUAAUUUUUUUAAUAUCAUUUAUAUGAUAAUUAAAUAUAAAAAAUAUAAAUAUUAAAAAAUCAUAUAUGUAUUAUCAUUUAUUUUACAUUAUUGAAUGUAUUUGAAUUAAAUAAAUUAUAGUUUUAAUAUUAAAUGUAUUAUCAUUUAUCUCAUUAAUCCUAUUUUAAAAAAUUACUAUCACUUCAAUUUUAAAUUUUUUAUAUUUAUCCUUUUAAUUUUAUUUAAUUUAGAAUGUUUUUAUUUUAAAAUAUUAAAAAUAUAAACUUAUUCAAAAAAAUUACCAAAAUAAUAAUAAUAAUAAUAAUAAUGAAGUUCUAAUAUGUGAUUAGAUAAAUAAUAAAUUUUUAAGAUCAAUUUAUCAUUGCUUACCGAUAUUUUUCUCUCUGACUAUAUCUAUGUCAAUUACACUUAGAAAAUAACUUUAAACAUGUGUAUUUUUAUUUAUUUUAUCAUUUUUUGAUUUUUUUCUAAAUAUUUUCAUGAAUUUUGAAUAAUUUUCGCAUUACUGAUAUUUUUGUUAAAAUAUCCACCGAUAUUUCUCCAAUAUUUCCAAUAUAUCCGUUAAAUCCAAGUACCGAUAUAUCCGUAUUUACCGAUAUUUCAAACCAUGGUUAUAGCAUUGCUACAUAUUUUUCACACAAUGUAUCUACAUAUCAUUCUGUCACACCAUGUAUCAGUUGGUAUCUGAUGUGAAUAGGCUUGUCAAAUCAUACAACAUCAAUACACCAUCUAACACAUGAGACAACUCAUCCAAGACAACCUUUUACUCAAUUUGGGCACUGAACCAAAUCAGAUCAGACUUUAAUAUUAACAGUAUCUAGGUGGCUUAUAUGUCUUAGAUUGCCCAUACUUCAAACCACGGAAUAAGUACCAAAAUCAACAAGGAAAAAAGAACAUACGAUGAUUGUUGUUUCUUGUUCUUGCUCUCUACCUCCAAGAAGUAACCAGCAGCUCCAUAAUUCUCCUGCAUCUGCAAGUUUGAAACAACAGUAAGAUCAAAUGUUUCAGAAAAAAAAAAAGCAGCUUACAAGCUAAAGGUAUCUUCAUAGAACGAGGACCCCCAAAAUUUGUUUCUGUCACCAACCAGAGAGGGGAGAAGAAAGAGAAUAGCUAUUCUGUAUAACAUAAUUAUUCCCUAAGUAACAACAAUAGUUAUUCCAUAGUCACAACAGCCCAAAGCACAAUCCAUGAAGAUUCAAAAGAGAGAGGGAGAGAGGGAGAGAGCAAGCAAGCAGAUAUUCCAAUAAAGUUCAAGAGAAAACAAUCCAAAAAGUUAAGCCCUGUUUGGUAACAAUUUUUUAAAACCAUCUCUAAUGUUUUGCAAAACAAAUGUCUGUUUGGGAACCUGAAAUAUUUUUUAUUUUGUUUUCUAUAUUUUUAAAUAUAUUUUAAAAAUAAUUUUUAUAUGUAGUACUUUAUUUUUAAUCAUUCUCCAUAUUUGUUUAAUUAUUUUUUUAAAUAAUAUUUAGAAAAUAAGUAAAAAAAACUAAAAUACAUUCUCUGAAAAUACUUUGUUUUCCAUUUUUAAAAACAGUAAACUGUUUUCUGUUUUCUGAUUGUUAAACGUGUUUUCCCUUCUUUUUUUUCCUAGAUAACAAAAAACUGUUUUUGAAAACAAUUACCAAAACGAGUCUUAGACAUUUCUACAAAGGCCAAGAGAAAUCAAUUCAAGCACUAUAAUAUCAAUGGCCAUAAAGCACCCGAAGAUCACUUCAGAAUCGUGUUUCAUGCUUUAGAGUUUGCUGCAUAUGUUAGUGUCUUUUAUAUAAUAAACAGAUAAGAUAAAAUGUGAUAUUUGUACAGAAAUUUAAAAUUUUCUGGGGAAGAUACAAAGUGGGGAAGCAUACCUGCUUAUCCAGCCAAACAAGAUAUUGCACAACAGCUGCACCAUCCCGAAUGUGUGCCUUUCUUAAUCCAUCCAACUCAACUGGAUUCUAGAAAUUUAAUCCAGUACGAGAAAAGAUUAGUCUGGUGAAGGUAAUUAUAACGUAUUACUACCCUAUCAAAAAAAAAUAAUUAUAAUGUAGUACUACUGCAAAAUUGUAUCAGAACAUAUGACAUAGACAUGAUGAAGCCAAAUGGAGCUACUAGGAUUUGUAAAGAAUUACCAGAGAGUAACUAUAAUUAUCUAAUGACUUUAGAAACAGCUUCAGAUUCCAUUAUUCACAUGUGCUUAAUCCAAGAAUCUGAAUAUUUCUAUCACAGGGUAAAGGAAAAGUUUCUUAAUCUCAUGCACUAUAGAAGGACCAAGGUAAACAGGAAAACAGCUCAAAUAGGCAUAUUUCCAGCAUGCUGGAUGCUGAUAAAUGCUUCGCAAGCUCAAGAAAUUUGCCAGAUCACCUCAAAGGUAAACCCUGAGAAAGCCUCACAUUUGGUCUCCUUGAGAAAGCCUCAAGAAGGUUUUAAAUUUGCCCAAUUGAUAUCACAAAGAAAAACCUCAUUUCAGUUAUAUGUAUUAUACUUUUUCAGAACGAAAACAUUUCACAUGGUUAUAUGAUAACAUAGGUUCACCAAUCCUGUACUAUUAGCUUACUCAGGCAUUCAAACACUUUUUGUAACUCGUAUUUCAAAUAAUAUGUCCAGUUAUAGGGACAAUGGAUAUGCUACCUUGAUAGCUUUUGCAAUGGCCAAAGGUGAUUGCUGCAAAACAACCUUAUCUGAAUCCAGUUUUGAAUACAAAGCAUAGCAGCAUGAACCAGGGUCAACCCAUAUGAAGCCACAAGUUUUUUCUUCCUCUUCAUUUAUGUCAUUCUCUGUUAUAUCAGUUACAGGGGAAGGUCUGAGUUGAUUAGACGCAAGCAAGGCUACAUCUGAGCUAACUUCACCAUACUCUCGAACUUCAAUUCCAUUUUCUUCCAUAUGGGAGUUUACCUGCAUAAAAUAACCAUAUGCCAAAUAAGUCAAAAGGUUAGACCUAUUAGACAUACAGAUGUGAGUUGCCUCCUGACAUGGAUGUAGAGUAUAAAAGAAAGAUACAAGACAACAAAUUUUUGCUUGAGUUUUUAAGGCCUUGUUUGGGAUAUCUUCUAAUUUUUAGCUUUAGCUUGGAGCUGAAGCCGAAGUCAACAUUGGUACUUCAAAGAGUAAUUAAACAUGAAAUAGCUUCCUAGAUAAGCUAAAGGAGGGGGCCUCUACAAGAAGUAACAUUAUCUUGAAUUGUAUAAUAAACUCUUUUUUUAAAUGAUAAGCUCCUUAAAAUUGCCCAAACAUGUUCACAAGCUCUUAUUGCACCCAAUAAAGAACUUUUAGCCUCUUAAAAGCCAAUCUAAAUAGAGCCUAAGUACCUGUACAAGUAUGAUAAUUGUGAAACCUGACACUAAACUAGCUGUCAGUCAAUAUAUAUCAAUACGCAAACAACCAAAAGAAUCCGUUUUUGAUAGGAACAACCAAAAGAAUCCUUUGAAAAACUUGAAAAAAAUAGAAGGCAUGAACUGCUUUAGGGGUUUGAAGAAUUUGGUCUUGUAGCUUUGCUUGAAUGGGUACAUGAACUGACAAUCUAAAGGUCUAGGGUCCUAGGGAAAAGAUGCAGUCUGUUCCAAAAAGCAGCCAAUCCAAUUGAGCACCUAUAUUUGAGAUCAGGCCCGGUAACUGAUGUGAGAUCCACCAAAAUAAUAAGCGCACAUGAUUGAACCAGAUGAGGAUCUGAAGGCCUAUGGGGUAGCAAAAUGAAAAUGUUCUUAAAAAAUGCUUUCCUUGUCAAACACAACAAUAUCGAACCUUUUUUUUAAACAUUUUUGCAUCAUCUUCAAUAGUUAAAAUACUCACAGGUUUUAAAACCUGAAAAUAUAUAUAUAUAUAUUUUCAUCAUAUAGAUCAUUUUCAGGAAAUUUUAUAAAAAGUUAUUACCAACCAUGUUAAGUGUCCUUUUCACCUUUUCUAUCUCCAAAAAUAGAUAUAGUCCCCAUCUUAGCUACCCAAGGGGUCCAAAACUUUUUAGAUCUGAUCCUUGCUUGAAGCUGAGAUACAUGGACACUAAUACCUGUCGACACGAUAUGACAUGGUGCGGGUGUGAGAUUGUGUAAGAUACAGAUAUAUAGCAUUGGAUACAUUUUGUUUGAGGUCCAAAAUCAUUUUAAACUUUUUACAAAUAACAGAUUAGUUCACUUCUAAUUAACUCUUCAAAUGGAGCAGAAAAAGGGUGAUGAGAAAAAGAAAUAGGGGAAUUAUUGGCUGCUCUAGUGACUGAACUCAUACAUAAUCAUUACCAUAUUUAAUAGAUAAGUAAAAAAUUAUCACUGCAGCAUAUGGAUAAAGAAGAAGAGUGGACAGACAUUAACACUGAUUACAACAAUCAGAUAUGAUUAUAAUUCCUUAAAGAAUCUAAUAAGUGAUGGUUAUAAUAGUGCUAAAGAUUAUUUGAUGAAGCAUGAGAGAGUUGAAUUUUUGGAGAGAAAAAGGACCUAAAUUUAGAAACUAUUGAUAAUGAUAAACCAUUAAUUUUGUUAUUACGAAUUUUAUGGGUUUUCUUAUCAUUUAAUUUUCAUGUAAUUUUAUUAGUAUUUUUAUGAUUUUUUUUUUUUAGAAUUUUUAUUUAUUUAUUAGUUUAUUUACUUGUUUAAGUUGAGGCUCAAGUCUAGUUCCACCGGCUUAUGUCUCACUUCAUUUGGACAAAACGCCUCAAGACAGACUUUAGCCUUUUAAAACAUUUCAAUUACAUGUACUUGCUACUAAGAUUAUGUCCUUCACAUUUUUCUUUUGAUAGGUAACCUUCUUCUUGGAUUUUUGUUUUUGCCAUACUUGAACAUGGAACCUCCCACAUCUCCACCUUAACCCCACACCACUUAAGCCAAGCCUCAAAGACUAGAUUAUUUCUUCCACAUUAAACCAAUUUAUUGUCCUUUUCAUUCAGUAAAUAGCCUAAAGAAAUUUCAACUUAAGGCUCAAAUAAGAAUCAGAACCUUUCUUUCAACUUAGUGAGCGGCGCCACCUUCAGCCAGGGAUGCCCUUCUUAGCUCUUUUAUAGGGAAGAAAAGGAAGACGGUGUGGACAACAACUCCUUUGUGCUUAUCUUGGACCUCAUGAAAGGAAAGAAAUUGGAGAGCUUUGAUGAUUCCAAAUUAACAAACCAAAAUAUUUUAUGGUUAUGUACAUGUUCUUAGAUUGGGUCAGGGUGCUCUUAGGUUUUAGUUUGUUGCCUUAAUUUGAUUUUAUUGAUUGGUUGGGUUGCAAGUGAUGUGAGUGUGUUGUUUUUUGUAUAUCCUCUUUCUUUUUUGGCCUUAGGUGCCUUGUAUACAUCAUGUGUACUUUUAUGUGCCCUUCUUUAGGCACUUUAAAUACAAUUGCUUUUACCUAUAGAAAAAAAAGGAUAUUAAAAAAAUUAAUACAGUCUAAACCAAGUCAAUCAUGUCGCAAUGAAGCAAUAGACAUGUGUGUGUAAAUUAUACCAUAGUCCACAAGAAGCAUUGUUUCCCCCAGACAUUCCUCGUUUAACCUCAACAAUAUUUUCCCAUUUCACAUCAAUAAAUAAAUUAAAGAUAGAUAGGCUAGCAAAUGAAGUGAAUUAUUUUUUAUUUGUUACUUUUUACUUGAUAUGGUUGAUCUUUUAAUGACUAUCUUUUAACUUCAGUACUCAUUUGUCGCUGACAGCUUGGAAUUAAUACAUAUCUGGUUCUCAUAAUAUCUGUUAUUAUAUUGCCUGAUUUUCUGCGCACCAAUCAGAGUCACCAAAUACCAUAUCCCUGGAGUCCCAUUGCCUUACUACUUUUCAUGGUUAGCAAAUCAGAGAUGGAGAUAUACCCAAAAAAAAACAAUAACAACAACAACAACUAACCUCAGAAGAGACCUUCUUCUUGUCAACAUAAAAGAAAGCUGAUUUGGAUGUCACUAUAGCAAAUGCAUGAACAACUGGACAGUAAGACACAUCAGUCCCACGAACAUUAUAUAACCAAGCAACCUGCGUAACAGUUAUUACACUUAAUUUUGCAUGAGAAAAUGAGGAAAUUUAAACUGGAAGGUCCCUGAGAAUCAAUAGAUUCUCAAUCUCGAAACAACAGAAUUGCAAAUAUUAAGCAAGAACAAGAUGAACUUACCUCAUCAAGCGCUGUGAUAAUUAUACCCUGAGCUUUCUCCUGCAUGAGCCUUUCUCUCAAAUCCUCCAACUUAUCAGCUACAGAACGACCAGCAAAUUCUACUGGCUGUAUAAUGACAGGAUUAGUUUCAGCUGGUGGCCGAUUUUUCCAAACUUCAUCUACCAAGUUUGUGGAUGUUUGGACCAGCUUUUGCCGUUUUUUGGUAAAAGCACGCUCCCAUCUUUGUGCAGUAUCCACUGAUAUGCACCAAGGAUCAAUACCAACAGCUGCAUUGUUUGGCAGAUUCUAACAAAAGCACAUAAAAAGUUUCCACUUUAAUAUGGUUUUCUAUUACAUUAUAACAAACAAAACUAAAAUUUGAUAAAAAUUCAAAGAACUAAAAAAUGACAAGUAGUCCAACAAUCAUAGCUAUCUUUCAACUAAGCUAAACCAUCAAAAGGCAUUAUUGAUAAGUAACUUUUGGAAAUAAGUGAUUUCAGCCUGAACUAGUAUGGUUGUCUAUAGGAAUGCAUUAUUCCAAACCUUAUUUCAACAGAGGUAAAAAUAUAAAUCCUUAGAAUUUUAGCAGAUCAUCGCCGGAUAUAAGAAUGAAUUUUUCUAUGUCAAGGACUAAGAGAAGUUAAAAAUCUGCUGGUGACAUAAUUGGGUAGUUUCUUGUUCUCUGAGGUUGCAUUGAGUUUACAAGCAUCAAACUUCAAUACUGAAAUCAUAUCUCUAAAAAUAAAUUCCAGGAAUGUAAAGAUUUCCAUUAUAAGGCUUGGCAAAAGUUGGGAAUUUGAAACUCCAGUCAAAUUUUAUUUCUAUUAUAAAAUUUGGUUAUUUUGAGAACAACUUAGGAAUUGAUAUAAGUUUACAUAGUAAACCCAAAGAAACAUUAGAAUGAUUAAAUCUAGUUAUAAAUAAAUAAAUAAAAACAAACAAAAGAUUGUCCUCCUUCCUUUUAUCAUUGUUGCCUGAAGAUGGGAAUAAAAAGAAAACAAUAAUCCUCCAUAGGUACAAUAUUUCCCUAAAUUUGAGAGAAUCUCAUAUCCAAGGAUGAAAAUAUCAAUAUCCACAAAAUAUCAAUGGUUCAAUUUUAAAAUAUAAGUAAAAAUGAAAGAGACCAUGGAGAUUAACAGAAAAAACAUGAAAAUUUUGGUUGAAACUUUGAGAAAUGAUAAAACAACAAAUAAUACAGGCAAGCAAAUUCAAGAAUUCCUAGCCCAUACAUAUAUUAUGAUCCAAAGACUGCUCAGCAACAGUCAUACAGGUGGGGAAUGUUGGGGUAAACUAGAAAGUUUGGGUAAAGCCAAAUACAAACUAAACUAGUUUUUAUAUUAAAUAUGUAUGAUAAAAUUAGUGUUAUUUUGUAAAUAAUAUAAUGUGUUGAUGGUAAAACAUGAAUAUUGAAUACUAACAUGGAUCUAAAAACAUUUUCAUGAAUAAUAAUAUAUACAUGUUGUACAUAUUUUCAUAAUUGUUAAUAUAUACAAGAAAAACUUCUUACAAUUAGUCAAUAUCAUAUUGGCAAAAGCAAAGAACAAUAAAAUUUUAUCUUUUCUAUUUUAUUUUUAAAUAGUUGAUUGUAAAUAUUUCAUUUUAAGAUUAUUUUUCUAGUAAUUAUACAAUUUGUAUUUGCUAAGCACAUUAUAUUAAUUCACUAAAAUGCAAAUUUAGAAAAUCUAAAAUGAUACAUAAUUAGGAUGAUUUUUUAUCACAUAAUUGAACUAAAAUUUGAGAUAAUUGAAAAGCGAAUACGGUAUUAUUUUUAUAUUAUAAAUGAACAUUUCAAUGAAAAUGAGAAUUAGAUUCAAAUUUUUUUAUCACAUUUUUUAAUGAUACCCUCUAAAUUCGUAUAAGUGUUGAUAAUUGAAUUAAGAUAGAAACAAUUUUAAACCCAUACAUGCUAAAUUUUUGUUUAAUAUUUUUAUCACAAUUCUUUAACAAGCAUUUGUAAUAUCUUUUCUUGUGAAAAUGAUGAGCUUUUCAAACCAUUUUAUUUAUCUAAAAUAAAUAAAUAUAUUAUUUAAUUUAAAAUGACAGUAUUCUUUCCAAAUCACAUUUCCAUCUAAUUCUAAGAUAUUUUUCUGAAAUCAGGCUACAAGAAGCCUCGACUUUUAAAUAUAUAUACUUUGCUAAUAUUUUGGUUGCCUUUCCCCAAUAUUUCCAUAGUGUCAAUUUUUCAACACUAUUUCAGUGAUUUUUUGCAGAUUUUACUAGCACCCUAGUUGCCAUAUCAGGAUGCUCAGUUUCAUAAAAUUUCAAUCACUAAAAAGAUUGAUCUUUUCAUCCUUGCUCAUAUCUAAGGAAACUAAUACUUUCUACGUAAUAUGCACAAACAUGGUAAUCUUAUACUUGAAUAUAAGAUGCCUAUUCCCAAGUCAAGAUACUCAUAAACCAAAUGUAUUCCAAGGACAAUGUUUCCCAUAUGUUGAUGGUUUUUUUGUCCUCAUUUUUUAUUUUUUUUUUGAUAAGCAAAGAUAGAAUAUAUUAAAGCACCUAACAAAAGCCGAACAAAGGUAUAAACAAUAUAUACAAAGGUGCCUAAAUGGCCAAAUAAUGCUAAGGGAAAACAAUUAUAUGUGUGUGUGUGCACCCUUUCAAGCCUCCCUAUUUACCUAAUGUCUCUCCUUGUUAUUCCGCGGAAGGUGUGUGCAAGACUUGAAAAGAUCCAAAGAGACUUCUUGUGGGGCGGUGGCGCUUUAGAGAAGAAGUCGCACUUGGUGAAUUGGAGUGCGGUUUGUACUGAUAUGAGACAAGGAGGCUUGGGUAUUCGCAGUCUUGUGGCCCUAAACAAAGCCCUGCUUGGGAAAUGGAACUGGAAAUUUGCUAUAAAAAGGAAUUCUUUGUGGAAACAAGUAAUUAUAGACAAAUAUGGGGAGGAAGAGGGAGGUUGGUGUUCAAAAGAAGUGAGGGGCCUAUGGUGUGGGAUUGUGGAAAGCCAUCAGAAAAGAUUGGGAAAUCAUUCGCUCAAGAUCCCGCUUUAUAGUGGGGAAUGGGAGGAAGGUCAAAUUUUGGAAGGAUUUGUGGUGUGAGAACCAAGCUUUGAAGGAUGCCUUCCCCAACUUAUUUAGAUCGGCGGUCAAUAAGGAUCAAUGGGUAUGUGAUGCUUGGGAGGACGAAAGAGAGGUGGGAAGCUGGAAUCCUUUGUUCUCAAGAAGCUUUAAGGAUUGGGAAAUGGAAGAGGUGGAGGGCUUGCUCCAAAAAAUACACCCUCUGGUUUUGCAUAGUGAUGUGGAGGAUGCUUUAAGCUGGAAGAUUAGUAAGAAUGGCUCCUUCUCUGUUAGAUCUCUCUACCGAUCCCUCACAUCUACCUCUAGUGAACCUUUUCCUUGGAGCAUCAUUUGGAGAUCUUGGGCACCCAUGAGAGUUAGUUUUUUUGCUUGGGAAGCGUCUUGGAACAGAAUUUUGACCACUGAUCAGCUUAAAAGAAGGGGCUGGAUUCUACCAAAUAGAUGUUACUUGUGUAAAAUGGAAGAGGAAACUAGUGACCACUUGCUCAUUUUCUGCAAGAAGGUUACAAUGUUAUGGAGCUUCCUUUUCUCCCUUUUUGAUGUGUAGUAGGUCCUACACUCCUCAAUCAAAAGGAAUUUGAUAGCUUGGCAUGGUGCUUCUGUGAGUAAGGGAAAGGAAAAAGCUUGGAGGGCUGCUCCCCUUUGUUUAAUGUGGACAUUAUGGAGGGAGAGAAAUGAAAGAGUGUUCAAUGACAAUGAACGUACCGACCAAGCUCUAAAACUCUCUUUUUUGUACACUUUUGUGAAUUGGGGUAGGGUAUAUUUAGAGACUCAUUCUUUGUCCUUGUUUGACUUUAUAGAAUGGUUUUUGUCUAGAUAGAAAAAAGGUUUUUCUUUUUGGCCUAGCUCCUAGGGCGUUGCUUGUAUACUUCAUGUGUACUCUUUUUGCCUUUCUAGGCUUUUCUAAUACAUCCUCUUAUUUGCCUAUCAAAAAAAAAAUUAUAUGUGUGUGUGUGUGUGUGUGUGUGGGUGUGUGUGUUAUGUGUGAUGAAAAAUAAUCUCUUGUAUAUUUCAUUACAUUUUUUUUUACAAUUUACAUACAAAAAAAGGGUUGAAAAAAUCUCUUAAAUUAAGUUACCCAUCAAAAAAGGAUCCCUCAAAUCAAGUAAUCCUAUUGCAAGGAUCAAAAAUGGAAUUUACCCAAGGUUCUUAUAUGGAAUUUACCCAAAUUCUUGGUACAAAAAAUUAAGGGAAGGGGUUUGUGCUACAAAAAUAUGGGUGAGUGAUAGGGUUGCCUCUAUAUUUGAGGGGAAGAGAGUUAUUCAAAAGGCUACCUGAUGCUUUCAAAGGAUUCGUGGCAAUGGAUGAGGAGCUGAGAUGCGCCAUCUACAAUGGAUCAGGAUCCUUGUCAAGCCCAAUGAGAGGAAGGCACCUAGUAUGUUGCACACUAUGGUUGGGGCCUCUAUCUUUGCCAUUCAAUUAUGGUGGGAGGUCCCGCAUGGUUAACAACAGUGGUCUCUACGGAGAGGUGCAGAGAUAUGAAGGUCACGGAUGAUUGUGAGGGGAUUGCACACGUUGUUGGGGAAGUGGUGCCUAAAGAAAAGAAGCGUGUAAAAAGAGGAAAACAAGUGUCAUUUCCAUAGUCAAGGCUCUCUGCACAUGCAAUGGAGGAGCCAGCUUUCUCUGUCGAAAACAGAAAUUUGAUGGAUGUCAGGCCUAAUGGAGGGUGGGCUCUUUAGCCUUAGUAAUCCUAUAUGGCCCCUCUAAGUCUCCUAGUGGCCAGUUAGAUGUGUCCAAGAUAUGUUCAAGAUAGGGGAAGAAUUUUGACAAUUGAUCAUACUUAAAAGGAGGGGAAGGAUAAUGUCGGUUAAACAUGUCCAAGGUAGGGGAUGAAUGAGCCUAUCAUUUGCUCCUUCAUUAACCUACAGCAAGUAUUUUAUGGCAGCUAUUGUUCUCUCUGUUUGAGGUAGUAUGAGUGAUGCACUCAACAGUAACAAGAACUCAGUUGAGUUAGCAUGGAUCUUUUAAAAUAAGAAAGUCGCUCCUUUGUGUCUAUUGGACUCUAUGGAAGGAGAGAAAGAAAAGGGCUUUCAAAAAUUUGGAGCAAUUUGAACAACCAACUAAACGCUCUUUUAUGAAUACUUUUGUGGAUCAAGCCAAAUGAUAUAUUAAUGAUCACUCUUUGACCAUGAUAGGAUGUGUAGAUUAGCUUAGCUCAUAGAUAGGAGAGGGAAUGGUUUUGUUUUAUCUCUCUCCUCUUUUAUUUUCCAGUCUUGGCGACCUUUGUAUAUAACAUGUGUACUUUGUUUUGUCUUUAUUCAAGCGCCUUCAAUAUAUAUCUCUUGUGGCCUAUAAAAAAUACAUCUAUAUAAAUUUAUGUAGUCUUUCGAUUUUAAUAAAUAAAAUUACAUAUAAAAUUGUGUAGUCUUCCAACUUUAAUGAAUAAAAUUAGUCAAAAUUUAGUGGCUAUCCAAUCUCCUAAGGUGUGAUUGCCAAGGAUCUAUAUUUUUUUUUCACUCUUUUCUUUUUUCUUUUUUCUUUUUUCUUUUUUCUUUUUAAUCUCUCAUCUCAUUACACAACAGAAGUAAAUCUUCUAUAAAAUCUAAAAAAUCCUACAGCAAUGAACUAUCACCAAAAUAAACCAAAGAAAACAAAAAAUAAAAAGUUCAUACCAAUAAAGUUGGUGAAAUCUAAACAGCAUGAUUAUCUCUAAGAGAAAAAUUAAGGAUGUCAACUAAGUUUCUAAGAGAAAAAAUGGAUGUGAGUAACUGGAAGAAACUUAUUACAAAUGAUAAUACGGAACCCAAAAAUAGUAUCUAGAACCCCCACAUGGCGUUACAUGUCAUUAAGCACGGGGGCAAUAGGCUUCUUGGGUUUCAACCCAUAUGAGAAACUCAAUAGAAUAUUGCAUGUUUCUUUUCCUCUCUAUAUCAUUUCUCCUCACA
rnacentral:lncRNA from 1 species